AGAGUUUGUUCCUGGCUCAGGAUGAACGCUAGCGGCAGGCUUAACACAUGCAAGUCGCGGGGCAGCGCGGGUAGCAAUACCUGGCGGCGACCGGCGGAAGGGUGCGUAACGCGUGAGCAACAUGCCCGUAUCAGGGGGAUAACCGAUGGAAACGUCGCCUAAUACCCCAUAACAACGAGGGUUGCAUGACCCAUGUUUGAAAGUUACGGCGGAUACGGAUUGGCUCGCGUGACAUUAGCUGGUUGGCGGGGUAACGGCCCACCAAGGCGACGAUGUCUAGGGGUUCUGAGAGGAAGGUCCCCCACACUGGAACUGAGACACGGUCCAGACUCCUACGGGAGGCAGCAGUGAGGAAUAUUGGUCAAUGGGCGCAAGCCUGAACCAGCCAUGCCGCGUGCAGGAAUGAGGCCCUAUGGGUCGUAAACUGCUUUUGCUGCGGAGCAAUAAGGUGUACGUGUGCACCGAUGAGAGUACGCAGCGAAUAAGCAUCGGCUAACUCCGUGCCAGCAGCCGCGGUAAUACGGAGGAUGCGAGCGUUAUUCCGGAUUUAUUGGGUUUAAAGGGUGCGUAGGCUGUUCGUCAAGUUCAAUGGUGGAAAUGCCGGGGGCUCAACCCCGGAAGUGGCCAUUUGAUACUGUUCGGGCUUGAAAUCCUGCUGCCGGUGGGAGGAAUGAGGUAGGGUAAGCGGUGAAAUGCAUAGAUAUUUACUCAGAACACCGAUUGCGAAGGCAUCUCACGAAACAGGCAUUGACGCUGAGGCACGAAAGCGUGGGGAUCAAACAGGAUUAGAUACCCUGGUAGUCCGCACGGUAAACGAUGGAUGCUCGCUGUGCGCCCUUGCGGUGCGCGGCUAAGGGAAACCGUUAAGCAUCCCACCUGGGGAGUACGCCGGCAACGGUGAAACUCAAAGGAAUUGACGGGGGCCCGCACAAGCGGAGGAACAUGUGGUUUAAUUCGAUGAUACGCGAGGAACCUUACCCGGGCUUGAACUGCAGGAGAACGAUACAGAGAUGUUGAGGCCCUUCGGGGCUCCUGUGGAGGUGCUGCAUGGUUGUCGCCAGCUCGUGCCGUGAGGUGUCGGCUUAAGUGCCAUAACGAGCGCAACCCCUUUCUUCAGUUGCCAUCAGGUCGAGCUGGGCACUCUGGAGACACUGCCGCCGUAAGGUGUGAGGAAGGUGGGGAUGACGUCAAAUCAGCACGGCCCUUACGUCCGGGGCUACACACGUGUUACAAUGGGGAGUACAGAGAGUUGAGUGCCGGCAACGUCACUCCAAUCUAUAAAGCUCUCCUCAGUUCGGAUUGGGGUCUGCAACCCGCCCCCGUGAAGCUGGAAUCGCUAGUAAUCGCGCAUCAGCCAUGGCGCGGUGAAUACGUUCCCGGGCCUUGCACACACCGCCCGUCA
rnacentral:rRNA from 1 species